GGCCUCGUAGCUCAGUUGGUAGAGCGUCCACUGUACAAAAGCGUAGGCGGCGUCCACUUGUGAGUUCGAAUUCCACCGAAGCCA
rnacentral:tRNA from 1 species